GACGAACGCUGGCGGCGCGCCUAACACAUGCAAGUCGAACGAGCGAGAGAGAGCUUGCUUUCUCAAGCGAGUGGCGAACGGGUGAGUAACGCGUGAGGAACCUGCCUCAAAGAGUGGGACAACAGUUGGAAACGACUGCUAAUACCGCAUAAGCCCACAGGUCGGCAUCGACCAGAGGGAAAAGGAGCAAUCCGCUUUGAGAUGGCCUCGCGUCCGAUUAGCUAGUUGGUGAGGUAACGGCCCACCAAGGCAACGAUCGGUAGCCGGACUGAGAGGUUGAACGGCCACAUUGGGACUGAGACACGGCCCAGACUCCUACGGGAGGCAGCAGUGGGGAAUAUUGCACAAUGGGGGAAACCCUGAUGAAGCGACGCCGCGUGGAGGAAGAAGGUCUUCGGAUUGUAAACUCCUGUUGUUGAGGAAGAUAAUGACGGUACUCAACAAGGAAGUGACGGCUAACUACGUG
rnacentral:rRNA from 1 species